CGGAGCAGGUCUCGGUGCCGCCGGCGGGGCGGGCUGAUCUGCAAGGCCGGGCUGUGCCAGGCGGCCCCGCGCCUGCUGCCCUCGUCGCUAAGGGCUGACCGGAGUUCCCAGGGUCUCCCGGGGGCAGGGCGCCCUGUCCGCGGCUGUUGCCAGUUGCAGAGGUGGGACGAGUCCGUUAGACCUACUUCUGCGAGUCCUCCCGUCAUCGUGGCCUUGAGCCCCUCUGCAUGCGUCUGGAACCUUGCACCCAACCUAAAA